GGAUAAGUGGUCGAGUUGGUCUAAGGCGGUAGCUUUGAAAGCUAUUGUAUUUUAAAAGGUACCAAGGGUUCAAAUCCCUUCUUAUCCU
rnacentral:tRNA from 1 species